CUCGAGACGCCACAAGAAAUUCUCAAUGGGGUUUACUUAAAUCCGGUGCUGUGCCGAAAGCCAUUGUUCCUUACGUAGACCUUUCAAAAUGACAAGAGGAGAAGAUUUUUCAGUUUACAAGAACUUCCCCGGAUUACUGUAAAUGAAUUUAAUCGCACGGAGAAGGGCAUUAAACGUUUCAAGUUACAUUGACAACUUUAGGAUUGUUUUAAAGGACUCCCAUCCAUACUGUUGCAGCACUGUACCAGACAGCACACUAUUCAGAACUGAGAAUCAGUGCAGUUCCUCCUGUACAGAGCUGCACUGAAUGGAGCAGAACUGGCACAAACCUAGAACAAUGAGAGUCAAGCCAGGUCCUGUCAGUGGGACGGUGGUCCUGUUUGCAAGAGAGGAAACUCGCUG